rnacentral:rRNA from 1 species
AUUGAACGCUGGCGGCAGGCCUAACACAUGCAAGUCGAACGGUAACACAAAACAGCUUUCUUUUUCCCUGACGCGUGGCGGACGCGUGAGUAAUGUCUGUCAAACUGUCUGUUGUCGGGGGAUAACUCCUGGAAACGGUAACUCUUACCGCAUAACGUCCCAACACCAAAGAGGGGGACCCUCUCGCCCCUUGCCCUCUUAUGUGCGCCGAUGGGAUUAGCUAGUUGGUGGGGUAAAGGCUCACCAAGGCGACGCUCCCUAGCUGGUCUGAGAGGAUGACCAGCCACACUGGAACUGAGACACGGUCCAGACUCCUACGGGAGGCAGCAGUGGGGAAUAUUGGACAAUGGGCGCAAGCCUGAUGCAGCCAUGCCGCGUGGAUGAAGAAGGCCUUCGGGUUGUAAAGCACUUUCAGCGGGGAGGAAGGGAGGAAAGUUAAUACCUUGGCGCAUUGACGGUACCCAAAGAAGAAGCACCGGCUAACUCCGUG